GUGUCCCCUUUACAAGGUAGAAGACAGACCAGCUGACCACCCAGGACCUUCCCAGAUCUGAAGUCAUAUAACCAUUUACCCAGAUUGCUUGGAUUUCAAGAUAUUCUGACCUCAGGGAAGCAGUAUUUACAGAGAAGAGAGACAGAUGCCCUGGUGUUCAUCUGGAUACACAGCCACUGAGAAUGAAGCGCACCCUGACCAGUCUCCUCUAUAUGGCCCAUGAAUCCCAUGAAUAGAGCACAAGCACUGGAGGUGCCUGGGCUCUUCUUGUCCCACAAGGAGCCAGCUGCAGCCUGGAGUUCCCACAUGUCACCUGCAGAGGAGAAGAGACAAGAUGAUAAGCAAUACAGGGACCUCCAGGGAGGCCAGCAACAGCACCAGUGUGCUGCUUCAUCACAGACCAAAAGCACCAGGGCCAACUGAUCAUAGACUGAAACCGCUGACACUGAGCCCUAACCAGCCCUUUCUCUGCAUCAGUUAGUUGCCCAGAUGUGGAAAUGGGAGCACAAGGUGUUGCAUUUGCUAAAGUUCAAUCGUUAACAGAUGGCCAAAGUCCAAAGACUGCUUCUUCUCCAGAAUUGUGCUUCUAACUCCUGAUGAUUAACUUUCACUAUAACCACAGAGUCUUAGAAUACAGGGGCUGGCAGGAAUAUGAGAAACCCAGCUAGCAUGCCUCUAAACUAUAUGCAUACAGAGUGACUCCAGGUCAGCUGGCUACACUGCAG